GAUGAACGCUGGCGGCGUGCCUAAUACAUGCAAGUCGAGCGAACAGACGAGGCGCUUGCUUCUCUGACGUUAGCGGCGGACGGGUGAGUAACACGUGGAUAACCUACCUAUAAGACUGGGAUAACUUCGGGAAACCGGAGCUAAUACAGGAUAAUAUAUUGAACCGCAUGGUUCAUUAGUGAAAGACGGUUUUGCUGUCACUUAUAGAUGGAUCCGCGCCGCAUUAGCUAGUUGGUAGGGUAACGGCUUACCAAGGCGACGAUGCGUAGCCGACCUGAGAGGAUGAUCGGCCACACUGGAACUGAGACACGGUCCAGACUCCUACGGGAGGCAGCAGUAGGGAAUCUUCCACAAUGGGCGAAAGCCUGACGGAGCAACGCCGCGUGAGUGAUGAAGGUCUUCGGAUCGUAAAGCUCUGUUAGUAGGGAAGAACAAAUGUGUAAGUAACUAUUCACGUCUUGACGGUACCUAAUCAGAAAGCCACGGCUAACUACGUG
rnacentral:rRNA from 1 species